UUUAUAUUUAAGUAACUCACUAUAUUGGAAACCGCCAUAUUACUAAGAGAUUGCACUUGAGAAACUCCAUCACUGAAAAGAUGUACGGCUGAGACUAGAGGCCUUUUCUUGGCUUGGAAUGUUGCUUCAUCUCUUUCAUGUGAAUGUAAAAACUCACAACUAGCAGCUUUAUCUGAUAGCUCAGUGAUCUCAUUAAUAAAUUCCAAUGAAUGCUUUCUGGUGUGCACUGCAGAUGAACUAACAGUGUUUUCAUUCUUG
rnacentral:misc_RNA from 1 species